UACGUAGGGGGCAAGCGUUGUCCGGAUUUACUGGGCGUAAAGAGCGCGUAGGCGGACGUUUAAGUGUGGCCUGAAAGCCCCCGGCUCAACCGGGGAUCCGGGUUGCAAACUGGGCGUCUUGAGGGGGAUAGGGGAAGGUGGAAUUCCUGGUGUAGCGGUGAAAUGCGUAGAUAUCUGGAGGAACACCGGUGGCGAAGGCGGCAUCCUGGACCAAUAUUGACGCUGAGGAGCGAAAGCCAGGGGAGCAAACGGG
rnacentral:rRNA from 1 species